GUACGAGUGGGACAAAAUGCAGACAGGUACACGAGCUCUGCGUUAGCCUCUGAACUGUGGAUAAGAGGCUAGAGUCCAGUUGGGAAUGAAUGACAACAUCCUCGUGAAUUACAACUCGAUGAAACGGCCUCAUCCCGUAAUUCCUCUUGAGGUCAUUCCAGUUGAUCACCUUAUCAUCCUCCAUCGAUUCAGAGCAGCCAUGCUCCAAUCUGGACCGCAUGUUCCACUUCUCACCACUGGGUAGCGCUGCUGCACCAGCCAGGCGCCUCCCCUUGGACGAACCCGUCUGAACCCGCUCCCACCCGCUGAAGGACCAGUUGCAAAGCAAGGAAAAAGUUAUCCGUUUUUCAAGUUGAGGGAGAGCUUCCUGUGCUGCCACUCAAAUUCUCCUAACUUUACAGAGUCACGCUGGCGAGAGGACUUGGC